GUGUCUAAAAAAUGGUCUCAAAUGCUCAAUAUAAAAUUAGCUGCUGCAUAACUAUUUUCUAUGAAGCUAAAUAAAAUAUGAUAGUUAUCUAAAUCUCAAUUGGUACACAAAAAAAUAAAAUAUGUGAUUUGUAGCCAAACAUCUUCCAAUUAGUGUGGAUAAUCAUAUAUCAGUUGUUUGCCUUGUUUCGAUCCCAAGAUGUCAAGCCAUCACCAUGUAAGCUAAAUUCCUAUACCACAAAAAAUAUAAUACUGAUUAGAAAACUUUGGUUGUAGUUGUAGUGAGUAGUGAUAAUGAUAAAGCAUUGAGUGAGUGAUGAAAAUACCGACCGAAGGACUCGGUUGAAGCUCUGCAGAUGGUGCCUCAAGCUCUACAUUUGUUGAGUUAAGCAUAAGACUUUGACUUAGAUGUUCUUGCCCUUCAUAAGCAUAAGUAGAAAAACCAAAUUCUUCCAUGUGUUCUCCAUUUUCCUUAUCCUUGUCAUUAGACUAGAUUUGAAAGGGAUUUGAGUAUGACACACACAUAAAACUGAACAGAAAAACAAAAAACAAAAUAUGCCAAGUACAAAAAUGACAAACAAAUAAAUUGUGCAGUGACUAAUCUAACCUGUGUUGUAUUGAUACCAGCUGCUACUAGAUCUUGAUAUCUAUGUGAAAAUGGAAAAUUCUGCACAUAAAAUCAAAAGAAA
rnacentral:lncRNA from 1 species